UUUUCUCGAAAGAAAAAUAAUUCUCUUUUGCCUGAUUAUUUUGUCAAAACUACCGUAUUUUUCCAAUUAACCCCAAACCAUCAAUCAAAUGAUUGCAUCAAUAUCUCGUACGAUGUCGUUUUUGUAUGGUAGCUGAAGCCGGCGUUAAAAGAAAGAGCUUAAAAUCACAAGCGAAUGAGCUCAACUUUUGUGGAAGUAGAAGACUCAUUGAAUUGAUUGAAAGAACAAAGCUCCGAUAAAAAAAAAUGGCGAUAACUCUUAACAGUGGGUUCAAGAUGCCAGUGAUCGGGCUUGGAGUUUGGCGUAUGGAGAAGCAACCAAGUCAGAGACCUCAUUAUCAACGCCAUUAAGAUUGGUUAUCGCCAUUUUGACUGCGCCCCUGAUUACAAAAAAUGAAGCUGAAGCUGGGGAGGCGUUAGCAGAAGCUUUUAAGAGUGGACUUGUUAAGAGGGAAGAACUUUUCAUUACCACAAAAGUGAGUUUGAUUUUGAAUUCUUAUUUCUCUGCAUUUGAAUCCUUCUUUACGUUCAAACAGUUGGGAGCUUCAGGAUGAGUUUGUAUGAUUUUGUAAGGACAAGAAUUGCUUUUAGCCAAUUAUAAUUUUCACGAUCGAUAGAUAUUGAAAAUUUUAAAAAUGCUUCUAAAAGAAACAUUUAGUCCCCAUGUC